rfam:TPA: Bos taurus chromosome 14, whole genome shotgun sequence.
UCCCUUGUGGUCUAGUGGUUAAGACUCCAUGCUUUCAAUGCAGGGGACACAGGUUUAAUCCCUGGCCAGGGAA